GACGAACGCUGGCGGCGUGCUUAACACAUGCAAGUCGAACGGAAAGGCCCUGCUUUUGUGGAGUGCUCGAGUGGCGAACGGGUGAGUAACACGUGAGUAACCUGCCCUUGACUUUGGGAUAACUUCAGGAAACUGGGGCUAAUACCGGAUAGGAGCUCCUGCUGCAUGGUGGGGGUUGGAAAGUUUCGGCGGUUGGGGAUGGACUCGCGGCUUAUCAGCUUGUUGGUGGGGUAGUGGCUUACCAAGGCUUUGACGGGUAGCCGGCCUGAGAGGGUGUCCGGCCACAUUGGGACUGAGAUACGGCCCAGACUCCUACGGGAGGCAGCAGUGGGGAAUAUUGCACAAUGGGCGGAAGCCUGAUGCAGCAACGCCGCGUGCGGGAUGACGGCCUUCGGGUUGUAAACCGCUUUCGCCUGUGACGAAGCGUGAGUGACGGUAAUGGGUAAAGAAGCACCGGCUAACUACGUG
rnacentral:rRNA from 1 species